rnacentral:lncRNA from 1 species
AUCUCCAACCACGCGGGCUCUCGCCGGGAAAGGAUUUCCCAGGAGUCUCCGAGGGCCGCCCGCUGUUGUGGGGCUGGGCGGGGCACCUGGCCGGGGUGUGCGGGGUCUCCGAGGCUGGAGGAUCUGGCCCCUCCCAGCAGAAAGCUGAGGACCCGGUUCCCUCACAGCGCGCGCGGCUGGGCGGUGAGGGGCAGCAAGGAUCCCGCUAACCAGACGCAGGGAACGGUGGAGGCUGGAGAAACCCUUUCCUGCCGCCCUGGUGACCUGCGCCUCCAGCGCUGGAUGCGGCAGAGUGGCGCCCAACGCGGGGCUGGAAGAGAAGGUCUGCCAGGAGCCGGAAAAGGUGAAACUGCAGACGUUGGAAACGGUAGCCUUGCCGUUGACGGAGUCGAGACCGACCUGCUGACAGCGUUGGAGAAGACAGCAAUGUUCACCAUUGUCCAGUGGGCAAGAUUGUGACUCAGCCGUGGAACCCUUCAUCAUCUCAGUGGCCAGGUCCUCAAUCUACUUUGUGAAGCCAGGUCUCUGCCCUCCCCAGUAAGUCUGCACAGUGGCUACUUUAUACCUGGGGAAAAAACCCUAAAAAAACAAUCAAGCCACAACACUGACUGAAAGUAUGAGGAAACCCACUGUCUCCAAUGGAAAAGAUUCAACCACUAGAAGUCAGGUGUCCGAGCUUGCUGCAUCCAGGAAGGAUGACAUGUAACCUGCCUGGAGCAAGUUUGUGGCAAGGCAGAGGACUGGCACCCAGAGUCCGGGGGCUGGAAUCCUGGCAAGGGGCCACCUUAAUGCCCUCUGCCUUUGUCCUCUGGACACCCACAUCCUGUCUUUCAUUCCUCGCAAGGCAAGUCUGCCGCCCACUGCCUGGCUGCCUGGCAUAUGUCCUGCCUCCCAGUCUUGUGUCGUGUUCCCUAACUGCUCCCCACUCCUCUGUCUUCUCUGGGUCUCAUGAGACCCCUAAGACCCAGUGGCCACUGCAGGUGGCUCAAGGACUCCCCUAUUUUAGGACCCCUCUGGACUGCUGUUGCCUGCGAACCAGUGGCAGGUUUGACAGGUUCUAUCCAAUAGGAGACAGUCUUCUUGGAACUUAAGAAACUGACCAGGCAGAAUCCAGACAAAACGCAGUGAAGCUAAGGGAAUCUCUAACUACUCCAAUACCUAAGAGCUCCACAGCACAACAAAGGGAUAAGUACUGAAGAGCCUGAUGAAGUUAGGAUUUCCAUAAGAGACCACAGAUGCUGGCUCUAAAUAGGGAGACUUCCAAACUGCUACUUUCAGCUGCCAUCAACACAUCUGGCCCAGUGCUGACUUGUGUCCAUCAGGAGCACUGGGCUUCACAUGCCCAAUGGUACAGGAAAAAGGAGUGCUCAUAAACCUGCCUUCACCCUUCUCUUGGCCACGAGCAUGCAGCCCUGUGAAACAGACUCCCAGCCACCCCUUUGCCAUUUACAGCUAGGCCCAGAGCUGCACAGAAAGCCAAGGACUGCAGCUCUGUGCUGCACCAUUGAGUAACCGUGUGAGGAUGACCACCACCCCACUUCCCCCACACAUCACAUGAGCUGAAACAAGGCCUGCACUAGACCACGAGGGUAGGGAACCAGGAUGUCUGGUUCUGUUCAAGGAGCACCCAGUCAGUGCCUGACACAGCUUAGGGUGAAACAUGACUGAAUUACCUCAAAAUGGAUGGGAAAGGGCUUUGAAUUCUAAGAGAAAGAUUGAGAAGGAAACAAAUUAUGGCUUGACACAGUCAAAAGGAGGAGUGGGAAAAGUACUGUUCUGGGAGAGGCUCCAUACAUGAGAAGCCGGAUUUGAACCUGAAGAAGUUAAGCAUUUAGUCUUACAAGUAAAACGCAGUCUACACAUUGCACAGGAACAGAAAUAAUUUCUGGAUUGUAAAAAGAAAAGCAGCUCUUACUUGGCUUAUCCCUCCCAGAAUGGGAGAGGGCCCAAGUUCUAUUACUGGGAUUUGCAGCACUUUAGUAACAAACUGCUAUGGCAAGGCUGAAAAUUGUAAGACACUGAUGAAAGAAAUCAAAGAUGACACAAACAGAAAGAUAUAUAUGAUGUUCUUGGAUUGGAAGAAUCAACAUUGUCAAAAUGACCAUACUACCCAAGGCGAUCUAUAGAUUUAACACAAUCCCUAUCAAAUUACCAAUGGCAUUUUUCACAGAACUAGAACAAAAAUUUAGAACUUUGUAUAGAAACACAAAGUAUCCAAGUAACCAUAGCAAUCUUAAGAAAGAAAAAUGGAGUUGGAGGAAUCAGAUUCCCUGACUUCAGACUAUACUACAAAGCUACCGUCAUCAAAACAGAAUGGUACUGGCACAAAAACAAAAAUGUAGACCAAUGGGACAGGAUAGAAAGCCCAGAGAUAAACCCAUGCACCUAUGGUCAUUUAAUCUAUGACAAAGGAGGCAAUAAUAUACAAAUGGAGAAAAGACAGUCUCUUCAAUAAGCGGUGCUGAGAAAACUAGCACAUUCAUGUAAAAGAAUGAAAUUAGAACAUUCUCUAACACCAAACACAAAGACUCAAAUUGGCUUAAAGACCUAAACAUAGGUUGGAUACUAAACUUUAGAGGAAAACACAGGCAGAACACUAUCAUAAACUACAGCAAUGUCUUUCUGGCCUACCUCCUAGAGUUAUGAAAAUUAAAAAAAAACAACAAAUGGAACUUUAACUUACAAGCUUUUGCAUAGCAAAAGAAACCAUAAACAAAAUGAAAAGACAAUCCACAGAAUGGGAGAAAAUAUUUGCCAAAGAAGUAACCAACAGGAAUAAUCUCCAAAACAUACAAACAUCUCAUGCGUCUCUAUAUCUAAAAAAAAAAACCCAAUCAAAAAAUGGGCAGAAGAUCUAAACAGACAUUUCUCCAAAGAUAGAUGGCCAAAAACCACAUGAAAAGAUGCUCAACAUCACUAAUUAUUGGAGAAAUACAAAUCGAAACUACAAUGGGAGGAGUUCCUGCUGUGGUGUAACAGGAUCAGCCAUGUCUUGGGAGCACCAGGAUGGGAUGCAGGCUCACUGGCCCACCAUGGUGGGCUAAGAAUCCGGCAUUGCUGCAGCUGUAGCUUCAGUCACAACUCCAGCUCAGAUGUGAUCCCUGGCGUGGGAACUCUAUGAGCUGCAGGGAGGAUAAAAAAAAAACUACAAUGGGGUGUCACCUCACACCAGUCAGAAUGGCUAUCAUCAAAAUGUCUACAAACAAUAACUGCUGGAGAGGGUGUGGCGAAAACAGAACCCUCCUACACUGCUGGUAGAAAUGUAAAUUGGCACAACCAUUAUGGAAAACAGUAUGGAGCUUCCUUAAAAAACUAAAUAAAGAACUGCCAUAUGAUCCAGCAGUCCCACUCCUGGCAUAUAUAUGAAGAAAACCAGAAGUUGAAAGAUACACACACCCUAAUGUUUGCUGCAGCACUUUUUACAAUAGCCAAGACAUGGAAGCAACCUUAAUGUCCAUCAAGGAGUUCUCACUGUGGCACAGUGGGUUAAGGAUCAGGCUUUGUCUGUGGUGAUGCGGUUUUGAUCCCUGGCCUUGGAACUUCCAUAUACCACAGGCACAGCCAAAAACCAAAAGACAAAACUAGAAAACCACAAAUGUCCAUUGACAGAGGAAUGAAUAAAGAUGUGGAACACGUAUACAAUGGAGUAUCACUCAGCCAUAAAAAAGAACGAAAUAAUGCCAUUUGCAGCAACAUGGGUGGACCUAGAGAUCAUCAUACUAAGGGAAGUAAAUCAGAAAGAGAAAGACAUUAAUACCACCUUUAUGUGUAAUUUUUUAAAUGAUACAAAAUAGAAACAGACUCACAGAUUUUGAAAUUACCAAAGGGGAAAUAUGUGUGUGUGGGGAAAUGGAUAAAUUAGAGGUUUGGAAUUACAUAUACAUAUUACUAUACAUAAAAUAGAUAACGACCUAAUAUAUAGCAGAGGGAACUGGACUCAAUAUUCUAUAAUAACCAGAAUUCACGUCUUGGCUCAGUGGUAACCCAACUAAUAUCCACGAGGAUGUGGGUUCAAUCCCUGGCCUUAUUCAGUGGGUUAAGGAUCUGGCAUGGCUGCAGCUCUGAUUCGACCUCUAGUCUGAGAACUCACAUAUGCCAUGAGUGUGGUCCUAAAAAAAAAGAAAAAAAAGUCUGUAAUAAUCUAUAUGGGGAAAAAAAAACACGUAUAUAUGUAUAACUGAUUCACUUUGCUGUACACCUAAAACUAACACAACAUUGUAAAUCAACUAUACGCCAAUGGAAUUAAAAAAACAAAAAAAACUCUUACCUAGCUUAUCCCUCCCAGAAGAGGGGAAGGCCUGAGUCUUUUAUUAGAUUUGCAGUUCUCCAAUACAAAUUGCUGUAGAAAGGCCAACACCUGUGUUAGGAGUCCUUGUUUUUGAAGUGAUGUUAUUGUUGAAAAUUGCAAAAGAAAUGGGAUUGAAUGACCAAAGGAGACUGCCCAGGCCAGUGUGCACUGGAAGACCAGAAGGAGAACAGGCCGGAUUCCUUCUGAGCCUGUGCUGUCUGACCUGCUUCUGUGGAAGAGAACUGCACAGUUGACAUUCAUUUAUGUACAAAACUGCUACAUUCUGAGGUGCUGACGUAAAUGUAAGGCUUUAUAAAACACACAUAUCUACAUACAACACUGGAUCUGGUCAGCAGUGAGAACUGCUAUGCAGACACGGUAGAUUCUAUUUUUAACACUUUAUUGGCAAAACAGAACUCCCUUCCCUCCACCCAUACAGAGUAACUAGUCUUUUUGUUUUUCUUGUGGGUAACAUAACUUACCUCCUUAACCAAGGCCUGUGCUGGCAAUUCAGAGGGUAGCCUCUCCCGCACCCCCCCCCCCCCCCCCCCCCCCGCUCACAUCCCUCCAGUUCCAGUUUGAGUUGUUCUAACUCAGGGAGCGGUGUAGCCAUCUUAUUCAGAAAAGGCAUAAACGGUAAUAACAGUAAUGGAACGUGCUAGGCUUUGCAUAAACUUGGCUGACACAUCUCUAUUAGCUAAAAU